AGGUGGUGCGUCCGGUAUCGGUGCCGGAGGCCAAUCACCUGCGCAUCCAGAUGGACGACAUCAUCGAACCGGCGCAGGGAUUCACCGCGCCGUCGCAUGAGCAUGUCGAACAGGCGCUGACCUUCAUCCGCAAGUGGGAUCGCACCGCGCCGAUGGUAAUCCAUUGCUAUGCCGGGAUCAGCCGCUCUACCGCGAGCGCAUUCAUGGCGGCCUGCGCGCUCAAUCCGCACCGGGACGAGACCUCCAUCGCCCGGCAGAUCCGUUCCGCAUCGCCAAGUGCGUAUCCCAA
rnacentral:misc_RNA from 1 species